rnacentral:ncRNA from 1 species
GAGUAGCCGUGUGAGGUGAAAGUCUCAUGCACGGUUUCGGAGGAGAGAUGGUUAAUGGCAACAUUACCAUCGACUCUAAC